AGCGGCGGACGGGUGAGUAACGCGUGGGUAACCUGCCUCAUACAGGGGGAUAACAGUUGGAAACGGCUGCUGAUACCGCAUAAGCGCACAGUACCGCAUGGUACGGUGUGAAAAACUCCGGUGGUAUGAGAUGGACCCGCGUCUGAUUAGGUAGUUGGUGGGGUAACGGCCUACCAAGCCGACGAUCAGUAGCCGACCUGAGAGGGUGACCGGCCACAUUGGGACUGAGACACGGCCCAA
rnacentral:rRNA from 1 species